GUGCUUGCUUCGGCAGCACGUAUACUAAAAUUGGAACGAUACUGAGAAGAUUAGCAUGGCCCCUGCGCAAGGAUGACUCGCAAAUUUGUGAAGUGUUCCAUAUUUUA
rnacentral:snRNA from 1 species